UACGUAGGGUGCGAGCGUUAAUCGGAAUUACUGGGCGUAAAGUGUGCGCAGGUGGCCGCGCAAGUCGAGUGUGAAAUCCCCGGGCUUAACCUGGGAAUGGCAUUUGGGACUGCAAGGCUUGAGUGCGGCAGAGGAGACUAGAAUUCCUGGUGUAGCAGUGAAAUGCGUAGAUAUCAGGAGGAAUACCGAUGGCGAAGGCAGGUCUCUGGGCUGACACUGACGCUCAUGCACGAAAGCGUGGGGAGCAAACAGG
rnacentral:rRNA from 1 species